rnacentral:rRNA from 1 species
AUUGAACGCUGGCGGAAUGCUUUACACAUGCAAGUCGAACGGCAGCACGGACUUCGGUCUGGUGGCGAGUGGCGAACGGGUGAGUAAUGUAUCGGAACGUGCCCAGUCGUGGGGGAUAACGUAGUGAAGAUUACGCUAAUACCGCAUACGCUCUAUGGAUGAAAGCGGGGGAUCGCAAGACCUCGCGCGAUUGGAGCGGCCGAUAUCAGAUUAGGUAGUUGGUGGGGUAAAGGCCCACCAAGCCAACGAUCUGUAGCUGGUCUGAGAGAACGACCAGCCACACUGGAACUGAGACACGGUCCAGACUCCUACGGGAGGCAGCAGUGGGGAAUUUUGGACAAUGGGCGAAAGCCUGAUCCAGCCAUUCCGCGUGCAGGAUGAAGGCCCUCGGGUUGUAAACUGCUUUUGUACAGAACGAAAAGGUUUCUACUAAUACUAGGAGCUCAUGACGGUACUGUAAGAAUAAGCACCGGCUAACUACGUGCCAGCCGCCGCAGUAA